rnacentral:rRNA from 1 species
CCUACGGGUGGCAGCAGUGAGGAAUAUUGGUCAAUGGGCGCGAGCCUGAACCAGCCAAGUAGCGUGCAGGAUGACUGCCCUACGGGUUGUACACUUCUUUUAUAAAGGAAUACAGUGAGUCACGUGUGCCUUUUUGUAUGUACUUUAUGAAUAAGGAUCGGCUAACUCCGUGCCAGCAGCCGCGGUAAUACGGAGGAUCCGAGCGUUAUCCGGAUUUAUUGGGUUUAAAGGGAGCGUAGAUGGGUUGUUAAGUCAGUUGUGAAAUGUUGCGGCUCAACCGUGAAAGUGCAAUUGAUACUGGCAGUCUUGAGUACAGUUGAGGUAGGCGGAAUUCGUGGUGUAGCGGUGAAAUGCUUAGAUAUCACGAAGAACGCCGAUUGCGAAGGCAGCUUACUAAACUGCCACUGACAUUGAUGCUCGAAAGUGUGGGUAUCAAACAGGAUUAGAUACCCCAGUAGUC